GCCUGGAUCUCUCCUCAUGGCAGCUGUAGGAAACACAGGAACUCCGUGACCUGGAAAAUGUGGGACAACUGCCACAAGGUGACCCUGGAAGGCUGGGAUAUAAGCCGCACGGGGCCAGAUGUCUCUCUUUGGUUCAUUGAUAUAACUCCAGUACUUACCUAGAGCACUGCCUGAUGACGUGUGAAGGUCUACAGUGAGCGUGGAUGUGACUUCUUUCAAAAUAAUUCCUUGAGAGGGAAGCAAGAAAGGCCUGGUUUGACUGUGAGUAUAAAUAAGUUUAAAAAAUUACAGUU